GUCCACGCCCUAAACGAUGCGAACUGGAAGUUGGGUGCAACUUGGCACUCAGUUUCGAAGCUAACGCGUUAAGUUCGCCGCCUGGGAAGUACGGUCGCAAGACUGAAACUCAAAGGAAUUGACGGGGGCCCGCACAAGCGGUGGAGUAUGUGGUUUAAUUCGAUGCAACGCGAAGAACCUUACCUGGCCUUGACAUGUCGAGAAUCCUUUAGAGAUAGAGGAGUGCCUUCGGGAACUCGAACACAGGUGCUGCAUGGCUGUCGU
rnacentral:rRNA from 1 species